rnacentral:rRNA from 1 species
GAUGAACGCUGGCGGCGUGCCUAAUACAUGCAAGUCGAGCGAACGGACGAGAAGCUUGCUUCUCUGAUGUUAGCGGCGGACGGGUGAGUAACACGUGGAUAACCUACCUAUAAGACUGGGAUAACUUCGGGAAACCGGAGCUAAUACCGGAUAAUAUUUUGAACCGCAUGGUUCAAAAGUGAAAGACGGUCUUGCUGUCACUUAUAGAUGGAUCCGCGCUGCAUUAGCUAGUUGGUAAGGUAACGGCUUACCAAGGCAACGAUGCAUAGCCGACCUGAGAGGGUGAUCGGCCACCCUGGAACUUGGACACGGUCCAGACUCCUACGGGAGGCAGCAGUAGGGAAUCGUCCGCAAUGGGCGAAAGCCUGACGGAGCAACGCCGCGUGAGUGAUGAAGGUCUUCGGAUCGUAAAGCUCUGUUAUUAGGGAAGAACAUAUGUGUAAGUAACUGUGCACAUCUUGACGGUACCUAAUCAGAAAGCCACGGCUAACUACGUG